UGAGGUGCCGCUGUUUCUGGGGCGGUGCUACGAUGUUGAGGUGCCGCUGUUUCUGGGGAAGUGCUGCGAUGUUGAGGUGCCGCUGUUUCUGGUGAAGUGCUACGAUGUUGAGGUGAUGCAAUAUAAUACAAUCACUGCCGCUGUUUCUGGGGAAGUGCUACGAUGUUGAAGUGCCGCUGUUUCCGAGGAAGUGCUACGAUGUUGAGGUGCCACUGUUUCCGGGGAAGUGCUACGAUGUUGAGGUGCCGCUGUUUCCGGGGAAGUGCUACGAUGUUGAGGUGCCGCUGUUUCUAGGGCAGUGCUACGAUGUUGAGGUGAUGCAAUAUAAUACAAUCACUGCCGCUGUUUCUGGGGAAGUGCUACGAUGUUGAAGUGCCGCUGUUUCCGAGGAAGUGCUACGAUGUUGAGGUGCCACUGUUUCCGGGGAAGUGCUACGAUGUUGAGGUGCCG